UACGUAGGUCGCAAGCGUUGUCCGGAUUUACUGGGCGUAAAGAGCGCGCAGGCGGCUGGUCAAGUCCGAUGUGAAAUCUCCCGGCUCAACUGGGAAACUGCAUCGGAAACUGAUCGGCUUGAAGAUGGGAGAGGGUAGUGGAAUUCCCGGUGUAGUGGUGAAAUGCGUAGAUAUCGGGAGGAACACCAGUGGCGAAGGCGACUACCUGGCCCAUUCUUGACGCUGAGGCGCGAAAGCUAGGGUAGCAAACGGG
rnacentral:rRNA from 1 species